rnacentral:rRNA from 1 species
AAAAAAGGUAAGCUACUAAGAGCGAAUGGUGGAUGCCUUGACUGGUAAAGGCGAUGAAGGACGUACUAGACUGCGAUAAGCUACGGGGAGCUGUCAAGAAGCUUUGAUCCGUAGAUUUCCGAAUGGGGCAACCCAAUGUAUAGAGAUAUACAUUACCUAUAUAGGAGCGAACGAGGGGAAUUGAAACAUCUUAGUACCCUCAGGAAAAGAAAUCAAUAGAGAUUGCGUCAGUAGCGGCGAGCGAAAGCGCAAGAGGGCAAACCCAGUGCUUGCACUGGGGGUUGUAGGACUGCAAUGUGCAAGAGGUGAGUUUAGCAGAACAUUCUGGAAAGUAUAGCCAUAGAGGGUGAUAGUCCCGUAUGCGAAAAACAAACCUUAGCUAGCAGUAUCCUGAGUAGGGCGGGACACGAGGAAUCCUGUCUGAAGCUGGGUCGACCACGAUCCAACCCUAAAUACUAAUACCAGAUCGAUAGUGCACAAGUACCGUGAGGGAAAGGUGAAAAGAACUGAGGUGAUCAGAGUGAAAUAGAACCUGAAACCAUUUGCUUACAAUCAUUCAGAGCCCUAUGUAGCAAUACAGGGUGAUGGACUGCCUUUUGCAUAAUGAGCCUGCGAGUUGUGGUGUCUGGCAAGGUUAAGCAAACGCGAAGCCGUAGCGAAAGCGAGUCUGAAUAGGGCGCUUAGUCAGAUGCUGCAGACCCGAAACGAAGUGAUCUAUCCAUGAGCAAGUUGAAGCUAGUGUAAGAACUAGUGGAGGACUGAACCCAUAGGCGUUGAAAAGCCCCGGGAUGACUUGUGGAUAGGGGUGAAAGGCCAAUCAAACUUCGUGAUAGCUGGUUCUCUCCGAAAUAUAUUUAGGUAUAGCGUUGUGUCGUAAUAUAAGGGGGUAGAGCACUGAAUGGGCUAGGGCAUACACCAAUGUACCAAACCCUAUCAAACUCCGAAUACCUUAUAUGUAAUCACAGCAGUCAGGCGGCGAGUGAUAAAAUCCGUCGUCAAGAGGGAAACAACCCAGACUACCAGCUAAGGUCCCUAAAUCUUACUUAAGUGGAAAACGAUGUGAAGUUACUUAAACAACCAGGAGGUUGGCUUAGAAGCAGCCAUCCUUUAAAGAAAGCGUAAUAGCUCACUGGUCUAGUGAUUUUGCGCGGAAAAUAUAACGGGGCUAAAGUAAGUACCGAAGCUGUAGACUUGCGCACAACUUAGAUUAUUUAAGUUUAGAAUAUGAGAAACUAAGUUAUAUGUUUAGUUAUAUUUUUACUGAUUUUUAUAGAGUAAAGAUAGAAAUAAAACUUAGUAAAAUCAGUAAAAAUAUUCUUAGACUAAAGUUAAGUAGUUUAAGUUGUGUGCAAGUGGUAGGAGAGCGUUCUAUUUGCGUCGAAGGUAUACCGGUAAGGAGUGCUGGAGCGAAUAGAAGUGAGCAUGCAGGCAUGAGUAGCGAUAAUUAAUGUGAGAAUCAUUAACGCCGUAAACCCAAGGUUUCCUACGCGAUGCUCGUCAUCGUAGGGUUAGUCGGGUCCUAAGUCGAGUCCGAAAGGGGUAGACGAUGGCAAAUUGGUUAAUAUUCCAAUACCAACAUUAGUGUGCGAUGGAAGGACGCUUAGGGCUAAGGGGGCUAGCGGAUGGAAGUGCUAGUCUAAGGUCGUAGGAGGUUAUACAGGCAAAUCCGUAUAACAAUACUCCGAGAACUGAAAGGCUUUUUGAAGUCUUCGGAUGGAUAGAAGAACCCCUGAUGCCGUCGAGCCAAGAAAAGUUUCUAAGUUUAGCUAAUGUUGCCCGUACCGUAAACCGACACAGGUGGGUGGGAUGAGUAUUCUAAGGCGCGUGGAAGAACUCUCUUUAAGGAACUCUGCAAAAUAGCACCGUAUCUUCGGUAUAAGGUGUGGUUCGCUUCGUAUUAGGAUUUACUCCGAAAGCGAAGAAACUUACAACAAAGAGUCCCUCCCGACUGUUUACCAAAAACACAGCACUCUGCUAACUCGUAAGAGGAUGUAUAGGGUGUGACGCCUGCCCGGUGCUCGAAGGUUAAUUGAUGGGGUUAGCAUUAGCGAAGCUCUUGAUCGAAGCCCGAGUAAACGGCGGCCGUAACUAUAACGGUCCUAAGGUAGCGAAAUUCCUUGUCGGUUAAAUACCGACCUGCAUGAAUGGCGUAACGAGAUGGGAGCUGUCUCAAAGAGGGAUCCAGUGAAAUUGUAGUGGAGGUGAAAAUUCCUCCUACCCGCGGCAAGACGGAA